rnacentral:lncRNA from 1 species
AUGUGUUUCUCGGCUCCCCGCUGCGCCCAGCCUGGGCCCCGGGGCACCCUUUUAGGAGGCCGUCGCCGGGCAAGGCGACCCCCACCAGCGCCCGGGGCCCCCGGGAGCCCCUUAAAUGGCGGCCGCCGGGCUCCCGGAGGGGGCAGGCCGACGACGACCAUGCCGAGGGAAGCCGUGCUUCUGCUGGCCUGGCUGGCCUUGCUGCUGGCCCUCCCGGCCCCACUGCUGGCCUUCCCCAGCGCAACGCCAGAUGUCACAGCUUCCUACCCGAAGGACACAACCACAGAAGUUACUGGUGAAGUGACCAUCACUGAAAGCAGAGGCCGAAGGAGUGAAUACAUUGAAUAUGACUCUAUCGCAGAGGAAGACUACUUGACUGGUAUGUCCAGUUAGUUCUGCUUCUUUAACCCUUCUAUAUGCAAAUAUCUUCUGCCAACAGUCACACAUAACACUCUCACACACCUUUCAGAUUUCUACUAUGGCAUAGAAGCCUACUGUGUAGAGAGAAGAAGGAAAAUUUUAUAGUCAUUGCUUGCUUAUUGGCUUCUUAGCCUAUUCCUUUGUGAAGUAUAAUGAGAGGCAGACGGACUGAGGGUUUUUAUUGUUUCUUGCUUUUUUUUUUUUUGUAAAAGGCAAGAAAGUAUUUCUUUUUCUUAAAAGAAAUAUUUCUUAAAAAUAUUGAAAAUGUGAAGUCUGGUCUGCUAGUUUAGUAGGAAAAUUUCUUGGAGCCAUCAGAGAUUAAUCAGUUAUUUUUAGUAUGCUAUAUUAUGCUGGAAAUGGAUAAAAACUUCAAUAUUUCUUCCAUUUCCUUUCUCCAGCUGUAAGUAUACCAUAGAAAUUAAAUAAAUGUAAACAGAAGCCCA